GAGUUUGNNCCNGGCUCAGAUUGAACGCUGGCGGCAGGNUNACNCUUGNAAGUCGAGCGGCAGCGACUUAACUGAACCUUCGGGGAACGUUAAGGGCGGCGAGCGGCGGACGGGUGAGUAAUGCCUGGGAAUAUGCCCUGAUGUGGGGGAUAACUAUUGGAAACGAUAGCUAAUACCGCAUAAUCUCUUCGGAGCAAAGAGGGGGACCUUCGGGCCUCUCGCGUCAGGAUUAGCCCAGGUGGGAUUAGCUUGUUGGUGAGGUAAUGGCUCACCAAGGCGACGAUCCCUAUCCGGCCUGAGAGGAUGAUCAGCCACACUGGAACUGAGACACGGUCCAUACUCCUACGGGAGGCAGCAGUGGGGAAUAUUGCACAAUGGGGGAAACCCUGAUGCAGCCNUGUCGCGUGUGUGAAGAAGGCCUUCGGGUUGUAAAGCACUUUCAGUAGGGAGGAAGGUAGUGUAGUUAACACCUGCACUAUUUGACGUUACCUACAGAAGAAGCACCGGCUAACUCCGUGCCAGUAGCCGC
rnacentral:rRNA from 1 species